GAUGAAGAACGCAGCGAAAUGCGAUAAGUAGUGUGAAUUGCAGAAUUCAGUGAAUCAUCGAAUCUUUGAACGCACAUUGCGCCCUUUGGUAUUCCAAAGGGCAUGCCUGUUCGAGCGUCAUUUGUACCCUCAAGCUUUGCUUGGUGUUGGGCGUCUUGUCUCUCUCCCGAGACUCGCCUUAAAAUCAUUGGCAGCCGGCCUACUGGUUUCGGAGCGCAGCACAUUAUUUGCGCUCUUGUCCAGCCGCGGUCGCGCGUCCAUGAAGCUUCUUUCAAACUUUUGACCCCGGAUCAGGUAGGGAUACCCGCUGAACUUAAGCAUAUCAAUAAGCGGAGGA
rnacentral:misc_RNA from 1 species